ACAUAGGUUAACGAGGCGAACCGGGGGAACUGAAACAUCUAAGUACCCCGAGGAAAAGAAAUCAACCGAGAUUCCCCCAGUAGCGGCGAGCGAACGGGGAGCAGCCCAGAGUCUGAAUCAGCUUGUGUGUUAGUGGAACGGUCUGGAAAGUCCGACGGUACAGGGUGAUAGUCCCGUACACCAAAAUGCACAGGCUGUGAACUCGAAGAGUAGGGCGGGACACGUGGUAUCCUGUCUGAAUAUGGGGGGACCAUCCUCCAAGGCUAAAUACUCCUGACUGACCGAUAGUGAACCAGUACCGUGAGGGAAAGGCGAAAAGAACCCCGGCGAGGGGAGUGAAAAAGAACCUGAAACCGUGUACGUACAAGCAGUGGGAGCACCUUCGGGUGUGACUGCGUACCUUUUGUAUAAUGGGUCAGCGACUUAUAUUCUGUAGCAAGGUUAACCGUAUAGGGGAGCCGCAGGGAAACCGAGUCUUAACUGGGCGUUAAGUUGCAGGGUAUAGACCCGAAACCCGGUGAUCUAGCCAUGGGCAGGUUGAAGGUUGGGUAACACUAACUGGAGGACCGAACCGACUAAUGUUGAAAAAUUAGCGGAUGACUUGUGGCUGGGGGUGAAAGGCCAAUCAAACCGGGAGAUAGCUGGUUCUCCCCGAAAGCUAUUUAGGUAGCGCCUCGUGAACUCAUCUUCGGGGGUAGAGCACUGUUUCGGCUAGGGGGUCAUCCCGACUUACCAACCCGAUGCAAACUACGAAUACCGAAGAAUGUUAUCACGGGAGACACACGGCGGGUGCUAACGUCCGUCGUGAAGAGGGAAACAACCCAGACCGCCAGCUAAGGUCCCAAAGUCAUGGUUAAGUGGGAAACGAUGUGGGAAGGCACAGACAGCCAGGAUGUUGGCUUAGAAGCAGCCAUCAUUUAAAGAAAGCGUAAUAGCUCACUGGUCGAGUCGGCCUGCGCGGAAGAUGUAACGGGGCUAAACCAUGCACCGAAGCUGCGGCAGCGACACUAUGUGUUGUUGGGUAGGGGAGCGUUCUGUAAGCCUGCGAAGGUGUGCUGUGAGGCAUGCUGGAGGUAUCAGAAGUGCGAAUGCUGACAUAAGUAACGAUAAAGCGGGUGAAAAGCCCGCUCGCCGGAAGACCAAGGGUUCCUGUCCAACGUUAAUCGGGGCAGGGUGAGUCGACCCCUAAGGCGAGGCCGAAAGGCGUAGUCGAUGGGAAACAGGUUAAUAUUCCUGUACUUGGUGUUACUGCGAAGGGGGGACGGAGAAGGCUAUGUUAGCCGGGCGACGGUUGUCCCGGUUUAAGCAUGUAGGCUGGUUAUCCAGGCAAAUCCGGAUAAUCAAGGCUGAGGUGUGAUGACGAGGCACUACGGUGCUGAAGUAACAAAUGCCCUGCUUCCAGGAAAAGCCUCUAAGCAUCAGGUAACAUCAAAUCGUACCCCAAACCGACACAGGUGGUCAGGUAGAGAAUACCAAGGCGCUUGAGAGAACUCGGGUGAAGGAACUAGGCAAAAUGGUGCCGUAACUUCGGGAGAAGGCACGCUGGUGUGUAGGUGAAGUCCCUGCGGAUGGAGCUGAGACCAGUCGAAGAUACCAGCUGGCUGCAACUGUUUAUUAAAAACACAGCACUGUGCAAACACGAAAGUGGACGUAUACGGUGUGACGCCUGCCCGGUGCCGGAAGGUUAAUUGAUGGGGUUAUCCGUAAGGAGAAGCUCUUGAUCGAAGCCCCGGUAAACGGCGGCCGUAACUAUAACGGUCCUAAGGUAGCGAAAUUCCUUGUCGGGUAAGUUCCGACCUGCACGAAUGGCGUAAUGAUGGCCAGGCUGUCUCCACCCGAGACUCAGUGAAAUUGAACUCGCUGUGAAGAUGCAGUGUACCCGCGGCAAGACGGAAAGACCCCGUGAACCUUUACUAUAGCUUGACACUGAACAUUGAGCCUUGAUGUGUAGGAUAGGUGGGAGGCUUUGAAGCGUGGACGCCAGUCUGCGUGGAGCCAACCUUGAAAUACCACCCUUUAAUGUUUGAUGUUCUAACGUUGGCCCCUGACCGGGGUUGCGGACAGUGUCUGGUGGGUAGUUUGACUGGGGCGGUCUCCUCCCAAAGCGUAACGGAGGAGCACGAAGGUUAGCUAAUCCUGGUCGGACAUCAGGAGGUUAGUGCAAUGGCAUAAGCUAGCUUGACUGCGAGCGUGACGGCGCGAGCAGGUGCGAAAGCAGGUCAUAGUGAUCCGGUGGUUCUGAAUGGAAGGGCCAUCGCUCAACGGAUAAAAGGUACUCCGGGGAUAACAGGCUGAUACCGCCCAAGAGUUCAUAUCGACGGCGGUGUUUGGCACCUCGAUGUCGGCUCAUCACAUCCUGGGGCUGAAGUAGGUCCCAAGGGUAUGGCUGUUCGCCAUUUAAAGUGGUACGCGAGCUGGGUUUAGAACGUCGUGAGACAGUUCGGUCCCUAUCUGCCGUGGGCGCUGGAGAAUUGAGGGGGGCUGCUCCUAGUACGAGAGGACCGGAGUGGACGCAUCACUGGUGUUCGGGUUGUCAUGCCAAUGGCACUGCCCGGUAGCUAAAUGCGGAAGAGAUAAGUGCUGAAAGCAUCUAAGCACGAAACUUGCCCCGAGAUGAGUUCUCCCUGAGACUAUAAGUCUCCUGAAGGAACGUUAAAGACGAUGACGUUGAUAGGCCGGGUGUGUAAGCGCAGCGAUGCGUUGAGCUAACCGGUACUAAUGAACCGUGAGGCUUAACCUUACAACGCCGAAG
rnacentral:rRNA from 1 species